GCGCUAACGCACGUAGACUGCGAGCAAUCCCUCUAUUUUCCUUCGUUUUAUUGUUUCCCGUUCCCGCGCGUUCAGUCUUAGUAGAAGAUCUUAGUCCGGGAAACAAUAAAACGAAGGAAAUAGAGGGAUUGCUCGCAGUCUAAAACGUACGG